GUUUUAAUAAUUUAAUAAAAAUAUUGAUUUUGUAAAUCAAAAAUAAGAUCGUCUUUUAAAAUU
rnacentral:tRNA from 1 species